rnacentral:tRNA from 2 species
CAGAUAUAGUUUAAUGGUAGAACAUAAGCUUCCCAAGCUUAGAGUGUGGGUUCGAUCCCCAUUAUCUG